GACCUUCAGUCCGUCUCACUUCUGUCCAUCAUGCACACGUCGGCUUGCUUCCCUAAAUAACUACAGUAAGCGUGUGUGCAUGAAAUGCGUCUUUGCAGUGAAUCCUUUGCAGAUGAUUAGAUACGUCGCAUUACGCUCUUUUCUCUGAGGGAUGACUGUCCUACACUGGCUACAGGCUAGAAAGAGGCGCGCGUAAUCGUGCCAAUGAAUGAACAGAAACUCGAGGAAAUCCCGGAGAACAGGAGGUGGCCCUGGGAAGUUUAGAUCCAUAGCAAUUGUGUAUCGAUAGCCCUCGUGACUAUAGCACAUGAGGUAAGCGUAGCACAUCAUGGUCGGCUGAUUGAGUUAUGAUAGCAGUCAUACCGAUCAUGGGUUGCCAGCAGAAUAGUUCAUCAUCAUCCCCGGCACCCAAAUCAACAGCAGCACCAGCAACAGUAGUAACAGUACAUGUAAAAGCAGCAGCAGCACCAGCAGCACCAGCAGCAAGGCCAAGAAUAGUCACGAGCAGCGACGGGCGUAACAAUAGCAAGGGUAAUGUGACUUCGAGGUCCUCAGCAAGAGCAAAGUCAACGAAUACUCCCACCGUUGCUGGCUCGGGUAGGGGCAAUCAUCGUACAAGCGGGAACCAACGCACCAGUAGACAGUCACACCAGAAGCAGCAGCAGCAGCAACAGCAGCAACAGCACCAUCAUCAUCAUCAGCAGCCUCAAAGCGGUGUCUCGUCGCUGCCACCUACAAGCAGUCUAGGGCGAGGAGGCCACGCUGGGAAUGCGCCUCCUAGAUCAAGCCAAGGUGUCCAAAGGGAAGAUCAGCGGGAUGAAUUGUCGCUAGUCGGACUCAAGUCAAAAACACGUCUUUGGCAGCAACAGGCUGUACCCUACGUCGACAGGUUCGGAUCAUCAGGACCACAGAAACUGCGAUAAGAACAACAGAAACAACUGUGUACUGUGUACAUGUAGUUAGUCUUUACAAAGCAGCAGGCAAUGAGAGAGCAGAGUGCAGUCUGUCCGACUCUUCCACUCCAGCACAGUACCGCCAUAGUUCCAUCUGCAUAGCUUUCUGAUCAGGAGAAGAACAUACACAAUCAGUCACAACUACGUUUGUUUUGCUCUAGGAACCAGCACUCACACAGUGAUAUACAGUGCGAACUGCAAUCGAAGUAUUAUAGCACAGUUGUACAUGUACUGUCAUUCUAUUCGUUUGGUCCAAGCCCUAUUUCCUACUCAUUAUUUUGCUUCCACUGCACAAAAAAGGCCUUUCAAUGUACCAAUAUGUUAUUAUAACAAACAUGUUUACGAAUUGUGUGUUGCUCCCUACUUGGGAGCUUGCGCUAUUCCUGCCGACUUGAAUUCUCACUUGACUGACUCACGACUGCCAUCAAGAGCACACGAGAAGUCCAUCAAACUUUCCAUUCGGCAAUAGGACCUCGCCCCAACCUCUUCUAAACAUGUUUACGCUUCUGGAAUAAUGGGCCAACCAUUUGUGCUCCAGUUGUGAUUUGUGAUCUUGAUCAGUAUCAACGGAAACACUUUCUGACCAUUUUUAAUUGUUAUGUGCUUGAUCUACAGUUGACUAGCCACGAUGUUAAA